rnacentral:misc_RNA from 1 species
ACAAACUUGGUCAUUUAGAGGAAGUAAAAGUCGUAACAAGGUUUCCGUAGGUGAACCUGCGGAAGGAUCAUUAUCGAGUUUUUGAAAUUUCGAUUUCAAACUCCCACCCAAUGUUUAAAUUUUUCUUGUUGCUUUGGUGAAACAGCGUUAAUUCGCCUUUGGCUUUUAUGCUAAAGUGAGUUCACCAGAGAAAAAAAAAACUCUGAUUAAUUGUAGUCUGAGAAAAAUAAAAAUAAAAAAAAACUUUUAACAACGGAUCUCUUGGUUCUGGCAUCGAUGAAGAACGCAGC